rnacentral:lncRNA from 1 species
GACACAGUCCACCCUGGUGAGGGAGGCACAGCCCUGAGAGCUCUUCUGUAACAAUGGGUGCACAUGGCGGUAGCUCUCACAUGCUAGCAGAUGAAGAAGCAAAGUGCUGGAGCUGGAACCAGAAGCAGGUAGGGCUUUCAAGGCCCACCCCAGAAACUCACUUCUGCCAGGCCAUAGUCCUAAGGGCUUCUGCACCCUUCUGAUGCAGAGCCACCAGAUAUAGGGGUGGUUCAGCAUUGGCAAAUCAGUAAAGAUCAUGCAUCACAUGAGUGGCUGGAGAAAAGAUGAAAGAAAUCACACCACCAUCUUAAUAGAUGCAAGAAAGGCCUUUGACCAACUACAGCAUCUCAGCGUCAUGAUAAAAGUACUGAAGAGACUCAGAAUGUUGGGGAAAUAUCUCAACAUAGAAAGACCAUAUACAACAAACCUGAAGACAUUCUGACCAUAUAGUUUGUGUAACCACCAGCAAUCAGUAAUAGUGCCAUUGAAACUAUGUACCAGAAUUUUUCUUCUUGGUUGGCCUCAUGUACCUCAGUCCUUGCAUAGAGUUGUUUAUAGGAUAAAUUAACAAUAAUGUCACUCCCCUCCAUAUACAAAAAAAAAAUGCUUCCUAUGGUACACAGCUGUAACCUUCA